CAGUCGAGCGGGCAUCCUUCGGGAUGUUAGCGGCGGACGGGUGAGUAACGCGUGGGAACGUGCCCUUUGCUACGGAAUAGCCUCGGGAAACUGAGAGUAAUACCGUAUGUGCCCUUCGGGGGAAAGAUUUAUCGGCAAAGGAUCGGCCCGCGUUGGAUUAGGUAGUUGGUAGGGUAAUGGCCUACCAAGCCGACGAUCCAUAGCUGGUUUGAGAGGAUGAUCAGCCACACUGGGACUGAGACACGGCCCAGACUCCUACGGGAGGCAGCAGUGGGGAAUCUUAGACAAUGGGGGAAACCCUGAUCUAGCCAUGCCGCGUGAGCGAUGAAGGCCUUAGGGUUGUAAAGCUCUUUCAGUGGGGAAGAUAAUGACGGUACCCACAGAAGAAGCCCCGGCUAACUCCGUGCCAGCAGCCGCGGUAAUACGGAGGGGGCUAGCGUUGUUCGGAAUUACUGGGCGUAAAGCGCACGUAGGCGGAUUGGAAAGUCAGAGGUGAAAUCCCAGGGCUCAACCUUGGAACUGCCUUUGAAACUCCCAGUCUUGAGGUCGAGAGAGGUGAGUGGAAUUCCGAGUGUAGAGGUGAAAUUCGUAGAUAUUCGGAGGAACACCAGUGGCGAAGGCGGCUCACUGGCUCGAUACUGACGCUGAGGUGCGAAAGCGUGGGGGAGCAAACAGGAUUAGAUACCCUGGUAGUCCACGCCCUAAACGAUGAAUGCCAGACGUCGGGCAGCAUGCUGUUCGGUGUCACACCUAACGGAUUAAGCAUUCCGCCUGGGGAGUACGGCCGCAAGGUUAAAACUCAAAGGAAUUGACGG
rnacentral:rRNA from 1 species